rnacentral:lncRNA from 1 species
CAUUUUCAAAUUAUCUUUUAUACUAUCAUAUACACAAUAUUAAAUCAACUAUUAGCAAGAAACCUUAAUUUUUAUUUGACAUUGUAGUUUAUCCAUUCCCAUGCAAUGAAAAGCUUGAUUGUAGAAAAAUGGCGUGUCACAUACCUUUAAUUCCGGACUGUAUUUCUUCCCUUUGUAAGUGUGUGCCAGUAAGCAUCUAAUUGAUCAAACCUUUGCUUAUAGGGUCCAUUUGGAAACCCAUUGUUUCAACAAAAAAGCUAGAAGUAGAAACCGAUCCCAUUACCAAUAAUAAGGCACCAUUUUUUUUUUAUGAGAACUACAAAUUUUUAGAUUCUUGUAUGAAAAAAAAAAUUAUAAUCUUUCUUCUGACUUAUUUAUUUUUUCUCUAAAUUCAAUUGUUUAUAGUUUUUUUUUGGUACCCAAAGCGUGACAUGAAAAUAGCAAACUAGGGAGAAUAAUUUUGUUAUUUGUGAUUUCACAAAAUUAAUGCUUAAGUAAAUAACAUAACAUUUUUGGACAAGUGCAAUGGGGUGACAAUUGCUUAGUAAUUAUAUUCUGAAUAUGACGUGUGAAUAAGAACCCACCAUUGUCACUGUCAAAAAAAAAAAACCCACCAUUGUCACAAACCUUUAAUUUUGGGGUGCAAUUCUUUCUUUUGUACGUGUGUGUGUGUUGGAUAGUUUUAUACAUUUAUGUUAAUUCAAAGCAUGUAAUUUAUUGUAUACAACAACAUAAUUGUUGGUACUUAUUCAAAGCAUGUAAUUUACUCUUUAUGUUUCUCUAAUCUUUAAAGUUUUUUUUUUCUACUCAAAAAUAACAAUGUUCAUUUAUUCAAAUUCAUAGAAAAUACAUCAAUCGAAAUCAUUACAUAUUCAAUUUUGCUAAAAACUAAUAAGGAUAAAUCUGCGAACAGGCGAACAACAUCCGAGUUUAGCAUAAAACGGUCUAAUGUGUAUGACAAAGCCUACGAUUGCAUUCAGAUCUGCAAUGUUGAUGGCGUUAAAGCCAUUGAAUCUGUCAUGAAUUUGGAUCGAAACAAACCUGCGAAUCUGAGCAAAACCAAACACCGUACCAAGACGGGAAAUCAAAACAAAUAUAUUUAAAUUUUGAUGGGUCUCAAUAACACAUCAAAUGAUUUUCAAUUUUUUUUUAAAAUUUAUAUGGAUGAUCUAUAUGAUAUAAACUUUCAAUCCAACAGUGAAUUUUAAAAAAUUUGUAUUUGUCAUAGGAUUAUUAAUAAGUGGUGCACCAUGCACCACUUGAUCAACUUGUUCAUAUUAACCAAAGCCUUAAUUAUAAUAUAAAGGCUUAAUUAGUAAAAUGGUCCCUUAAAGACAUUUUUGGUUUCACAUUGGUCCCUUAAAGAAAAAAAAAGACCGAAUAGGUCCCUUAAUAAAAAAAAUAUCCGAAUAGAUCUCUUAAAGACAUCUCCCUUAAUUAAACUUUGCGAUGGAAUACCAAUUCUUGCAUACCGCACUGAAAUAGAUGUGAUCAAUUCGCUCUACCAACUUAUUAAAAAUUAAACUUAAAGGAAGUGCUUCUAAAUUUCCCCAAUCUAUCUCCAUUGACAAGAAAUAUAUUGAAAACAAAUAUAGGAAGAAAAAAAAAAGGAAGGUUUCUUUAUUUCCAAAAAAGAAAUCUAUCCUAUCU